AUUUGUUUAACUAUGGCAAUAGAAAGUUAAUUUUGGUUAGCUGCAUAAAAUAGUUUUAUAAUUGUGUAAGAGUUUAUUUUUGCUUAGUUUAUUAGCAGUUAGUUUUUUAUUAGGAUGAAUGUUCUUUAAGAGUACUUAAUAAUAAAGGGGAUAGUGCACAGUGCCAGCAUCCGCGGUUAAUCUGUUUUCUUUGCUUUCUGGUAGACUACUCUUGUGUAUUUAUAGGUAGAAUUAGGUGAAAUUUUUCUAUU
rnacentral:rRNA from 1 species